rnacentral:rRNA from 1 species
GAUGAACGCUGGCGGCGUGCCUAAUACAUGCAAGUAGAACGCUGAAGGAGGAGCUUGCUCUUCUGGAUGAGUUGCGAACGGGUGAGUAACGCGUAGGUAACCUGCCUGGUAGCGGGGGAUAACUAUUGGAAACGAUAGCUAAUACCGCAUGACAACAGUUAUUGCAUGAUAACUGUUUAAAAGGGGCAACUGCUCCACUACCAGAUGGACCUGCGUUGUAUUAGCUAGUUGGUGAGGUAACGGCUCACCAAGGCGACGAUACAUAGCCGACCUGAGAGGGUGAUCGGCCACACUGGGAAUGAGACACGGCCCAGACUCCUACGGGAGGCAGCAGUAGGGAAUCUUCGGCAAUGGACGGAAGUCUGACCGAGCAACGCCGCGUGAGUGAAGAAGGGUUUCGGAUCGUAAAGCUCGGUUGUAAGAGAAGAACGAGUGUGAGAGUGGAAAGUUCACACUGUGACGGUAGCUUAACAGAAAGGGACGGCUAACUACGUG